rnacentral:lncRNA from 1 species
CCCCUGCUGAGUGCAUGUCCCUCAGUACCAUAUUCACCCUUCUCUUGAAAACCUCCAUUCUGUCUCCAGGGUCUCUGUCAUGGACAGCUUUUGGCAAGUCAUUCCAUUUUCCUGGUGAAGCAAAAAUGAAGAUUUCCGGACAUCCAGCUUUGGUGUUGGAGAUAAGUUCCAGUGCUUGGUCUGAACCAAGCUUAUAAAGCUUUUCCUGUUCACAGUCUCAGUGCUAAGGAAGCAGCAGAGAGACUCUCCAUUCUCACACGUGAAGCAAAAUCCUGCAGUCAAGAAGCAAAAUGUGCACGAAGUUUCAUCCCCAUUGAAGCAGUCUUGGGGCAAAGGAG